GGCCGAAUCACGGCUCUCGUGAUCGAGUAAUAUUUUUCAAAAUUUUCUGUUUUGGCAUCACCGCAUUCGGGAUCGAGUAAAAUUUAUCGAAAUUUGGCAUCACCCCAUUCGAUAUCGAGCAGACGUUCGAGUAGAAUUAUUCAAAACACCAUUCGACAGUAAAUUUUGCAUCGAGAAGUGGGAAAUUAAAAUAAAACAACAAAAUGACAAACAUAAACAAAAUCAACAAAAAACAAAAAAGUAUUAUGGCGGAAUAUAUGCAGGAGCACCCGGAUUUGGCCAGAAAUAUUCUGCCAAAUUGCGCUCAAGGAAGAACCGUUGCUCAAAGAUUGUGGGAGCAACUUUCCUUAAAAUUAAAUUCUGCUGGUCCGCCUACAAAAGAACUUAAAAUGUGGUGUAAAGUAUUUGCAGACCAAAAGCAGCACGUUAAAAAGAAGCUGUCUUUUAAUAAAGCUUCUAAGCAAAAGACCGGAAGUGGGCCUUACCAAGAAAAGCUUUUGACGGCGUCCGAGGAGCUGCUGCUGCAAAAGCGAUAACGUAGCAGCUAAUUGCAAGACGGAGGGUACUGAUGUGGACAUAUGCCCCUCAAACUCAAGCUCCGAAAUCACGUACUCGAACGCAGGUUUUGACAGUCGGAAACGUUUUUUGAAUCUGCAAAUAAAGAACUUUAACGUAUGAAACAAAUACCUACUAGAAAGGUUAGAAUCAUUAAAACUUACGCUGCUGCUGGUAAACUUAAGGGAUUGCUUUUGCCACGUAAUCCUCUCCGUAUCUGCACUUGUCUGACUUCAUUAUCAGAAUAAGACGAGCUCGAAUAAAAAAAUACUGAAAUAUUCAUUUUAUAAUAA